CGAACGCUGGCGGCAGGCCUACCACAUGCAAGUCGAACGGAUCCUUCGGGAUUAGUGGCGGACGGGUGAGUAACACGUGGGAACGUGCCCUUUGGUUCGGAACAACUCAGGGAAACUUGAGCUAAUACCGGAUGUGCCCUUCGGGGGAAAGAUUUAUCGCCAUUGGAGCGGCCCGCGUCUGAUUAGCUAGUUGGUGAGGUAACGGCCCACCAAGGCGACGAUCAGUAGCUGGUCUGAGAGGAUGAUCAGCCACACUGGGACUGAGACACGGCCCAGACUCCUACGGGAGGCAGCAGUGGGGAAUCUUGCGCAAUGGGCGAAAGCCUGACGCAGCCAUGCCGCGUGAAUGAUGAAGGUCUUAGGAUUGUAAAAUUCUUUCAGCGGGGACGAUAAUGACGGUACCCGCAGAAGAAGCUCCGGCUAACUUUGUG
rnacentral:rRNA from 1 species